rnacentral:rRNA from 1 species
UGGGGAAUAUUGGACAAUGGGCGCAAGCCUGAUCCAGCCAUGCCGCGUGAGUGAAGAAGGCCUUAGGGUUGUAAAACUCUUUCACCGGGGACGAUGAUGACGGUACCCGGAGAAGAAGCCCCGGCUAACUCCGUGCCAGCAGCCGCGGUAAUACGGAGGGGGCUAGCGUUGUUCGGAAUUACUGGGCGUAAAGCGCGCGUAGGCGGUUUAUCAAGUUAGACGUGAAAGCCCUGGGCUCAACCCAGGAAUUGCGUUUGAUACUGGUUGACUAGAGGCCGGGAGAGGGUAGUGGAAUUCCCAGUGUAGAGGUGAAAUUCGUAGAUAUUGGGAAGAACACCGGUGGCGAAGGCGGCUACCUGGACCGGACCUGACGCUGAGGUGCGAAAGCGUGGGGAGCAAACAGGAUUAGAUACCCCCGUAGUCC